AAAGUCGUAACAAGGUUUCCGUAGGUGAACCUGCGGAAGGAUCAUUACUGAAAAACUAUUUCUAGUUCUUCAUACCCCAUUGUUAACUUGCCCUGUUGCUUCCACUGGACAGGCUUCACCUUGUGUGAGCCCUUUGGCUUGUUGUUAAUAGCACUUGCCAGGGAGUUGCCAGUGGUAAGACCCUAUAACAAAACUUGCUGGAAAACACACACGUCUGAUACUUUUUUCAAAUGAAAUAAAACUUUCAACAACGGAUCUCUAGGCUCUU
rnacentral:misc_RNA from 1 species